GGAUCUUCAUCCCAUGGAAGCCAUUUUAUCAGAAUGCAAAUGUUUUCUGGCUUUUAAAUUGGAGGCACUAUGGUGACUAUUUAAUUUGGCAGUAGCUUAGGAUGAUCUUGCAUAAUGAGAAUGAACUAUCCUGGAAAGAAAAAAAAAGUCAUAGGCAUUUUUAUUGACUAUUUAAGCACCCGAAAACUGGUAGUCUACCAUAUGACUCCAGAGAUUCCCCAUAGACAUUAGUCUAGGGUUUUCAUUGUCCUCAACUGGGGGCUGCAGUGAUUUGGCUGUCGACGGUAAUCUUUUUAUUUUGGUGUUCUUUAUAACAGCCAAGGGAGGUGGGAAAAGACUGUAUGGGAAGAGCCUGAAAAAGAAGUGUGCAAUGUACUUUAACUUUAUUUCCUUUACCUUAAGACACUGAUCCACAUUUUACAUUUUCUGCAAUAAAUAUGUGCAACACGAUCACCAUUACAUGAAAUGGGGUGUGUGUGUAUGUGUAUUUGUAUUUCCUGCAAAAAGCUAUUUGUUUUUCCCUUUUUUUUUUUUCCUCCAAUUCCUGUCCUUCAGGUCUAGGUGCUCCUCUUUAACUUGUCACUGGAAACUGUCCAAAUCAAAAAGGAUGUGAUUACAAAUGAUCACUCACCUACUGAGGGUAAAGGGUUUCACAGCAGGGCUGAGUUUACCCCAUCCCCAUUUAUUUUAUUUCUCUUUCCCUCAAUCCUUUCCUCCAUGGACUGGGAGCUUUGCAUGUACCUUUUCUUCCUUAAGAUUACACUAUGAUGAUGGUGAGGUUCUGUGUUGUUAAGAGGUCUGUUGGAUGCUUUAUUAGUACUCUUUGUUGUUUUUAUUUGAAGACAACUUAGUAUAGUAGAUUGGUGAAUCAGACAGGCCUUAAUUGAAAUCCUGGACACUUAAUUAUUUGACCUUAAAUAAAGCUUGUCUUUAGUUGUCUGUCUUGUAAAUAGGGAUAAUAAUAUUUACUUCAUGGAGUUGCUUUGAGUUUUCAAUAAAUCUGUAAAAUAGGCCUAGCACUAAAGAACAUGCUCUGCCCUUUCCUUUCCCAUUGUCAUUUCUUAUGACCUUCUUAAAAACUGUUUGGAGAGAUCAUAAGCUUGGAUAGUGAAAUUUCUGAGAAUUUAGAUUCCCUAGAAUAGGCAGAAUUCUGCCCCGCUUAAUUUAUAAUUGCCAAGGCAAUGAUGUCAAACCCUUGUAGAAGAUUUUUUUUUUAACUGAAGGUUAAAUUUGGAAUUUUUAUAUUUUGUUUGUUUUUCCACUCAACUUGGAUAAACCUCUUAGCCCCUCUGAGUCUUAAUGUUUUUUCCUGUGUAAAAACAGUACAUCUUAAAAAAAUGGUGCUGGCAUGGAAAAUGAAAAUAUGCAUGCAAAAGAUUGCUGUAGACUGUAAAUCUCAUAAGAUGCUUGUCAUUAUUUUUAACCUCUCUUUCUUACUGUGUCUUUCUUGAUCCCUCCCCCUCUCUUUCUGACCAAAGAAUACACAUUCUUCUACAUUCAGAAGAGGAUAGGUUAGACCAACGCUCUCUCCUCUCCUAUAAGUCUUGGCAAUUGUAGCAUGGGAAUGCCUACUGGCUUGGAACAAGAAACUAGUUUACCUGACCAGAACUCUGAAUAUGUCUUAGACCACUGGUGUCUGACUGCAGUUCUUGGAAAGGGGCACAGAAUAUUCUUUUGACCAAUGCCAAUGGGGAGGCAACUGCACAGGCAAAUGGACAGAGGUCCUGGCUGAGUGGCAGUAACCUAGAAGCCAGAGAGCUCAGAUUCAAACCCACUGACUCUUGACCUCUCAUUCAUUGCUGUCAGUGGAAUGAAGACAACACUGCCACAUACUACUUCCCAGAGAGAUGGGAGACCCCAGAGAAGCUCUCUCUCUUUUUUAAUGGGAAGUUCUCUUCUGCCUAAGUUAUUCACCAUCUUCUAAUUUUAUGGUUUGUUUGUAGAUUUAUUAUUGUGAUGUACUUUCCAUUCAGGGCAUCAACUGGCUUCCUUUCUGUAAACUGUGUGGGGCCUCUUCUGCCAUCCUGCACCUAUACAAAUGAGAAGAGGGAGGCUAUCUUAUUUCAUGGGCAGGGAAGGGCCCCUGUGAAUUAUACAAUGAUUUUUUAUGAGAAGGUAAACACACUUGUGUGAUUUUUAUGUGUAAAAUUCCAUCCAAAAUUGUAGAAUCAAGGGGCGUUACAGAGGAAUUUGAGAUUAUUCUCUGAUGAGAAGAGAACCAUGACAUCACAGAGGAGGGAUCUGCAUCAGUUUCAGUGAAGUUUCACUGAAGACAGAAACUGUGG
rnacentral:lncRNA from 1 species